AUUGAACGCUGGCGGCAUGCUUUACACAUGCAAGUCGGACGAGUGGCGAACGGGUGAGUAACAUAUCGGAACGUACCGAGUAAUGGGGGAUAACUAAUCGAAAGAUUAGCUAAUACCGCAUAUUAUUCGAGCGGCCGAUAUCUGAUUAGCUGGUUGGUGGGGUAAAGGCCUACCAAGGCGACGAUCAGUAGCGGGUCUGAGAGGAUGAUCCGCCACACUGGGACUGAGACACGGCCCAGACUCCUACGGGAGGCAGCAGUGGGGAAUUUUGGACAAUGGGCGCAAGCCUGAUCCAGCCAUGCCGCGUGUCUGAAGAAGGCCUUCGGGUUGUAAAGGACUUUUGUCAGGGAAGCGGUACCUGAAGAAUAAGCACCGGCUAACUACGUGCCAGCAGCCGCGGUAAUAC
rnacentral:rRNA from 1 species